UUUCAUUUUCUUUUCCUUCAUUUCUUUUCAUUUCCUUUCUUUUCUUACUUCUUCCUUUUCCUACCCUAUUGUGCACCAAACCCACAGUUUCUAACUCCAUUUUUUAGCACAACCAAACCCUAGGAGAGAGAAAGAAAAAUCUCUCCUUUUUCCUUUCAUUUUCUACUUCUACUCCAUCUUCAUCAACACUUGAAUUUUUAGCUUCAGAUCUUGAUUUUUAAAGCCAAAAGGUUUUAAUGUUACUUCAAGACUUAACUUGGAGUAAAGCCUUAUUGGUGCUAAUUUUGUAAGGUGGCAUUACCAAGUUUUCAGGUUUGAAGGUAGUUGAAUCCUAGGUAGAGGUGCUUCCUCCUGUUCAUCGUACGGUAGGUUUACCAAGACACUCUAUGAUAGUACCCACUGCAGAGUCACUCCACUGAUAGUCAUGGUCUUUUGUAUGUGUGUAAGGUUAUUUAAAUGUAAUUCAUGAGAUUUG